AUGCAAAUUUCAUUGCCGCACUCGCAUGUUCACAACCGCUUUUAGUAGCAAUCUUGGUUGAAUUAUCUAAAAACCAUGCAUUUUGCACUUCAAAUGCCUCGAAAAUCCCCCGUCCAGAUAUAUUUCUCAGUAACAAGUGGUGACUAAAGUAUAUAACCUAUUAUCCUGUUUACACUGCUUUACUCAUGAAUAAUGUUUAAUUUGCGCUAUUUAAUUUGAUUUAUUUAUGUAUUAAUUUUUUUAUUUCAUUUUGAGCAAGUGACACAGUUUGAAACAUCAAAGCCCAUUUGGAGCACGUAUCAGAAUUGUGUUCCCUAUGAGCUUGUUUUUGUUUCGAGGAUGCUUUUAUACCGAAAAAACCCCAAUCCUUUUUGGUUUGUUGUUUCCUUUUCUGCAUUGUUGCUAGAUGCUAAUGUUCCAAUCCACUAUCCACAUACGCCCCUCCUCCACUAUACGCCCUUUCUAUUACUUCUGCAGCGUACUCCUGGUGGAUUUUUGCACCGCUGCCACCCGAUGGCCAUUUUUUUUGCUAUUUAACAUUGCCGUCAAGCCUAAUCCUUUGGUGAGAAGUUCCAUCAGACUCUCUUGCACCCUCCCCCAGGAAAAGACGUGAUUGACGUAUUAAUACGUCAAAGGGUGUAAAUGAGUUAAGCGCCAACUAAGCACAGCGGUGGCCCUGGCGCCUAGCGAGCACAGUUUUUUAUUUUUUGGUUGAUUUCUGGGGUCGUGGGGGUGAAGACAAUGGGGAGUAUGUGUUGUUUAGUGAUACGGUGUGUUGUGUGUUGUGUGCGUGCGCGUGUGCGUGCCAUAAACCAAACUGAUAUACAUGGAGGAGGAGGGUGUCUUGAAUCUGUGAAGGGUCCAAUGUGAUCUCAAGCCUAUCAAGGUAUUCCAGUGAGAAAUGUGCUGCCUGGUGUAAUAAUUGUCUCAGUCAUGGGUCUUGAAACUGGAAAAUGACACAAAUUGCAUAGCUAAAAACACCCUGGAAUGUCUAAGAGCAAAGCAUUGAACUAUUCUGAAGAGGGAAUUGAACUUUUUUGUUUUGUUUUUUUUCCGCAUCGUUUUGAUGUUUUAUUGUGAAAUAUUAUUCAUGUUGUCAAGCGAUUCAAAAAAAUGUGAGAUUAAUUCAUUAGGUCUGUCAUUGAUUGAUCAAAUUAAUCUAUACUUUCUGAUUGAAUACUCUAAAUUGUCCCUAGGUGUGAGUGUGAGUGCGAAAGGUUGUUCGUCUCUGUGUGCCAUGCGAUUGGCUGGCAACCGAUUCAGGGUGUCCCCCGCCUACUGCCCGGAGACAGCUGGGAUAGGCUCCAGCACCCCCCGCGACCCUAGUGAGGAUCAAGCGGUUAGGAAGAUGAAUGAAUGAAUGAAUCUAUACUUUAAUCUUAUCUAAAAAUUACUGAGAAAAACCAUUUACAUUUUAAAUUCAUUACAUUAUUGAGACAGAUCAAAAGAAUAGAAAAAGUGGCAUUAUAAAGUAUUUUAUUGUUUUUCAGCAGACUUGGACAGAUGCAGCCCUAGUCAUUUACUUUCUGCUGUAUUUGAGACUAGUGAAAGUCCUCCCUGCAACCUUUACUUUCGACCACAAGGGGAAAUAUCAGUUUUGUUUGUUUUUGUAAAUCUCCAAAGAAUUACAAAAUGAAAAUGAAAUAGAACACCGGGUCCUUAAAAGGUGCUUUGGUUAGCAUAUCAAAAACAGUAAGAACAAUUUUCUGGGCAAUACAAGUACUCAACACGGAACUUGCUUCAGAUAUUAAACAAUAAAUAAAACGGACCCUUAAAUCACAGUGCUGUAAGUUAGCACUUCAUAAAUAACACUGUUCAUCAUGACAAACUAAAAGCGCUGAAAAAACAUCAAUCACUUCGAGUAGUCUACAGAGGCCACACCAACUAUGCCUCGUACAUGGGAUGCUCUCGAGUUUAUUUUGCGGAAUAGCUUUGCUUUGUAUGGCUCACUCGCUGUUUUGCGAAUGCUUUAGGUGCUAAUGUUAGCUGUGGCUGCACUCGCGACUGGGUGCUUUGUAUUGAUGUGGUAGGUCUAAAAUUGAUCUGCUUCGGUGGUAAGCAAACUCCUUCUUACAAAUUAGGCACAACACUCUACCUUUGUCAAUUGUGUCGUCAGGGCAUUUUCCAUUCAUUGUGCCGAGAACUCUCACAUGCGCCUCCAUUUUUUACCUCUACGUUCCUCACCGCUGCUUACUAAGCCCGCCCAACUCCAAUGGGACCCAAUCAGUUUAUGCUAAAUCAGCCCAAACAUAGUGACGGCCAAUCAAUAUCCGCUUCAGGCUGUGACUGACAGUUGUUUCCCCACUUUCAACAAUUCGAAGACAGGAAGCCAACACA